rnacentral:rRNA from 1 species
CCGUUCCCGGGCCUUGUACACACCGCCCGUCACACCACGAAAGUCGGCAACGCCCGAAGCCAGUGGCCUAACCCUUUGGGGAAGGAGCUGUCGAAGGUGGGGUCGGCGAUUGGGGUG